rnacentral:lncRNA from 1 species
CUCAAUCCUGGCUGCAUAUUGGAAUCACCUGCAGAGGCUUUAGAACCUGUUGGAUCCCGCCUCCAGAGAUUCUGACUUGACUUGAUUAGCUGAAGGCCCAGGCACUGGGAGUUUUAUAAAGCUCCCCAGGUGACUGUAUUGUAAGUUGCUAGGGGCUGACGUUUAAAGGCCUAACAUGUGGUGGGGGUUGGGGGGUGGCGGGAGGAAGGUGACGAGAGAAAGCGCUUGCUGUUAAAUGAAUCGGUGAAUCUCUAACUGAUGGAAUAAAGGUAGGGGAAAUAAUUUUGAGUGUAGGAAACAUAUGAUAGGGGUCAAUGAAAGAAGAAACUUCUUUCCAGAACUGCCCAUCUCCGUCCUCCCUCUGCACAGCUGGGCCUGAGCUGCACCCUUAAACCAUCUGUGCUUGGUGGCCUGGAAUCUAGAAAGCGCGGUGCCUACCUGCAAUGGAGGUUUGGUGUUAAGGACGAGAUUUAUAUGACAAAGAUAUUUCUGGCAAGACGUGGAGAGAAAGAGUCCCUUCAAUGAAAAAAUGCAAGACUGUUCUGACUGCUUUUUCAGAUCUUCAUUGCAGCUGGUGAUUGCUGAAAAUGAUGAUCUCAGAGUCGCCUGUUCCUGCCAGAGAGCCUGCACACAGAGAGAUGCCUUUGUGAAGCCAGCCAUAGAAACCUGCAUAAAAUUGGCCUUCUUUCCUUAAUAGAACCACAUGAACAAAGAUGAGUUUGUUGCUGACUCAGAGCUGAAAGCUUUGUUUUGUAAAGCUCUCUGAAUGUAUUGCACUCUGGCAAAGGAGAAGGGCUCCUUCUUCUAAAAAAAAAAAAUAGAGGAAGAACAGUAAGCGGAAAUCAGACAACAAAUCAAAGCGCACACCCUUCGGGUAGAUAUUUGUGACUAAAGUGGCCCGAAACAUUUUUUUUUUUUUUUUUUUUUUUUUGGUGAAUACUGGUCACAUUUCACAAGAUGAAUAAAAUGAAAGGAAAGGGAACUCUAAUUAAUGGGGUGCCUUUUGAUUUGCAGAGCAAAACUGCCACAGCAGAUGUACCAGCAAAGAGGAUUAGAUUGUCCCUUCUAUGAGGCACUGAAAUUUUCUUUUUUCCCCUGUAGUAACCCCAUUGAAGAGAGGCUGUCUUCAGUGUCUAAGAUUCAGCACUGCAAAGAAACUGUUGUGCUUAAGCACAAUGGGCCGCUCUCACAAGGCCAGACAGAAUAUGUGAGGAGAGAACUAAUAUCCCAUUAAAUCUGGGCAAGACAGUUUUAAUUUUACUAUUUUUAAAAGGCUAAAUUAAAAGAGAAAUUUG